rnacentral:misc_RNA from 1 species
UCACCGUAGGUGAACCUGCGGAGGGAUCAUUACAGAGUUCAUGCCCUACCGGGUAGAUCUCCCACCCUAUGUUAUUAUUACUUUGUUGCUUUGGCGGGCCGUUAGGCUCCGGCCCGACUACCGGCCCCGGCUGGUAAGCGCCCGCCAGAGGACCCAAAACCCUGAAUAUUAGUGUCGUCUGAGUACUAUAUAAUAGUUAAAACUUUCAACAACGGAUCUCUUGGUUCUG